rnacentral:rRNA from 1 species
GAUGAACGCUGGCGGCGUGCCUAAUACAUGCAAGUCGAGCGAACAGACGAGAAGCUUGCUCCUCUGACGUUAGCGGCGGACGGGUGAGUAACACGUGGAUAACCUACCUAUAAGACUGGGAUAACUUCGGGAAACCGGAGCUAAUACCGGAUAAUAUAUUGAACCGCAUGGUUCAAUAGUGAAAGACGGUUUUGCUGUCACUUAUAGAUGGAUCCGCGCCGCAUUAGCUAGUUGGUAAGGUAACGGCUUACCAAGGCGACGAUGCGUAGCCGACCUGAGAGGGUGAUCGGCCACACUGGAACUGAGACACGGUCCAGACUCCUACGGGAGGCAGCAGUAGGGAAUCUUGCGCAAUGGGCGAAAGCCUGACGGAGCAACGCCGCGUGAGUGAUGAGGGUCUUCGGAUCGUAAAACUCUGUUAUUAGGGAAGAACAAAUGUGUAAGUAACUAUGCACGUCUUGACGGGACCUAAUCAGAGAGCCACGGCUAACUACGUU